UACAGGGGGGGCAAGCGUUGUUCGGAAUUACUGGGCGUAGAGGGCUCGUAGGCGGCCAACUAAGUCACACGUGAAAUCCCCAGGCUUAACCUGGGAACUGCGUGUGAUACUGGAUGGCUUGAAUCCGGGAGAGGGAUGCGGAAUUCCAGGUGCAGCGGUGAAAUGCGUAGAUAUCCGGAAGAACACCGGAGGCGAAGGCGGCUUGCUGGGCGUAGUCUGACGCUGAGGCGCGAAAGCGUGGGGAGCGAACAGG
rnacentral:rRNA from 1 species